rnacentral:rRNA from 1 species
AUGUGUAUGCCGAAAGAGAAAGGAGGUAUGGAGUUCCGAGAUGUCCAGAGCUUCAACUUGGCCAUGUUGGCCAAACAGUGCUGGAGGCUGAUUGAGCAUAACGCGUCGCUGUGUGCAAGAGUUUUAAGAGCGAGAUACUAUCCCACUGGGGACAUUUUGAACUGUGAACUGAAGAAGGGAUCUUCUUACAUAUGGAGGAGCAUUUGGGCGGGCAUACAAACUUUCAAGAAAGGGUGUAUUUGGAGAGUUGGAGAUGGUGCUAAGAUUAACAUUUGGGAUGACUGUUGGAUUCCCAGUAGCUUUUCAAGAAAGGUGGUUACGGUUUGA